AGCAACUAAACGUGUUUUUUUUUAUCCUAGGAUUCAAUUCUUCUUCUUUUUAUUCCAACAAUGCUUAAUUUUUCUCAAGUCCUGGAACUUUUUUUUUUAAUGAAGUGUAGUCUAGACCGUUCUGAUUUUUGGUUAUGGUUAAUUUGGUUUCCUUUUUUACUUGGGUGUCUAAAGUUCUUCUCUAUUGUUGUUGUUUAUAUGUUUUUGCUUGAAAUGAAACAAAUGAUGCAGCAGUUGCGUUUUGAAAAGGGGAAUGCUCUUUAAGACUAUGGAUGAUUUCACACAGAACAAUUCAUUACAAUUUUGAAUUUCAAAUUCAAAAGUUUGUGCCUCUAUCUAUAACUAUAUUCUAUCCCUAAACCCAUUUAACCAUUUUAAACAGAUAUGUUUAUCAGAAAAAAAUCAUAUGACCUUUCUUUGAACAAUCCAUGGGUCCCUCCGCAACAACCUCUCUUGCCCAGCUACACACGCGAAGGAAUUUUUCUUUUCCGUCCUCCUUCUCCACUCCCAACCCGAGCCAAAAUCCACGAUUUGCCUCUGAUCACUGCCUGGAAGUUCUCCUCGAAUUCUCCUACCCCUUGCACUGAAUCCUUCUUUCUUCUCUCACAAAUGUUCGAACUUUCGGUUCCACCAUCCAGAGCUCCAUCCUUCACUCUCGAGGCAAUCAUUCACUCUUGGGCUUAAUUUCAAUGUUCAGAUUAUCUUCAUUCUCCACCUACUCUCGAUCAUGAUUUAUUGCUCAUGUAUCUUCCUUUAUUUAGGGCUUAAUUGAUUAACGGUUAUUGUUUUCAUCAUGAUUUAGUGUUUUCAACUUUAUAAUUUUCAGGUAUCUUCUCCACUACCUUCCAUCUCUAAUUUUCAUCCUUCCAUCUCUAAUUUUCAUUGGCCAGGUCUGAAUCGUCCUCUUCACCUUGGCUCCGUUAUUCUGUCAAUGUUUUCUUCCCAGUUCCCUACUGAAACAAGAAUCAAGUUGUGUUUUUAUAUGGAUGGAUUGUGACCAAUUAUUGGUUUUAUAGAUAGUCAAUUCAAACCCCUAAUACCAAUUGUGUCAGUUUUUUAUUGCUUUAUUUCCCUUUUCUAAAAUUUGUGGCAAUUGCUAGGGAUUGAACGUGGUGCCUGAGGAUUUUGUGGAAGUCUGUGCUCUCUGAUAUGCAUGUUGAUAUGUUAAUUCAAAACAAUGAAGUGCUUAUCUGGUGGUGAUAUCUAUGAAGGAUGGGGUGGUGAUUGCGUGAAUGGGGAUCAUUGAAGAUUGAGCAUGUGGAGCUUGGCCUUUGGAAGUAGGUAGAGCCUAAAAAAGGAACCCCUUUAGUUUGUAUAAAUGGAGAAUAACACAACGAUAGCAGAAACCAUGCAAAGAGAUUGCUUGACCUCAUAUCAGUAAACAAAUGUGGCAUGAACACCAAGAAGAACACAAGAUAGCAGUAUUUAUAGACAAGUGAAAGUGAGAAACAUUUGAGCAUUUCAAAAAUUUAAUUAAAUUCACUUAAAUUGAAUUGAGUUUCAGAAGCAAACCUGCUUGACAACUAUGCAUACCAAACCUGACAUGGCUUCUGAUACACAUCUAUUCUCCUCCUUCAGACAACACAUUAUGAACAAAUCAAACACCUUCAUCAACAGUUCUAUUAUCAGAAACUUAGGUCAGGGUGAUGAAAUUUACCCCAAAUCCUGGUCAACAGGAAAACCUAAAAUUUCGACUUCCUCCUUCAACCAAGCUUAGACCGAACCUUCCUUCGACAAGUACACCUACCCCUAACAACUGCAACAGGACAAGGGAUCUGCAAGAAUGACGAAGAUGACGGGCACACUCUUCAGCUUCAGCCAGAACUCCUUCAACGAUCAGUGACCUCAUCCCCUUCCUUAUACCUUAAACACGCAACAGGGACAGGGCAAGCAGGCAUGACGAUAACUCACGAACGCUUAGCAGGGAAACACUCCUCACCUUCAUCACAUACGCUCGAGUAGAAUAGAGGCGAAAAAAGUCUCACAAAGGAAGGGCCACGAUUAAAGAGUGAAAAUGGAGAGAGAGUCAAUUGGACGGCUGAGAUUGAAAGUUCUUUUAGGAAUAGUGAUUUCUUGAGUCUCUUUUAAAGUGUAGUAGAUUUGGUUUUAGGGGAUUUUCUGUUUGGCCCAGGUAUCUUCCGGACAUUGCUUUCAGAAAAUGUAAUGAGUCUUUCAAGGUAAAAACUUUCUUUUUCCAUGCAAAUUUCUUGCCUUAAUUUCGAAUUUUUACCAUUUCUUUUCUUAUUCAUAUUCCUCUCUAACUUAUAUUUCUUACUAAGUUAUUGGAAUGCGCCAUUCUUUCAUGUGUUUCCUUCUUUCAUUUUCCUAGCUGUGUUUCCUCUAUGACUUAUGUUCCAUAUGAUGUUGCUUAGCGACUUAGCGUAAUGUUCUAUUUAUUUAACUUUUUAUUAUUUUGUGUCAAUUAGCCUAACUACUUGUUGCUGACUCUUUAGUUUUCUUGCUCUGAUAAAUCACUAUUUGUUGAAAUGAGCUCAUUUACUCAUGCAUUGUUUCUAAAACAAUUGUCUUCUGCUCAUUUGAUUUUCUGGGCUCCUUGCUACCGUCUCCUAAGUUUUCUUGCUAUUAUGAAUCACUAUUUGUUGAAAUGAGCUCAUUUGCUCAUGCAUUGUUUCUCAAAAUUUGUCUUUAACCGACACCUGUCAUGGUUUAGGUCGUGUCUCCAACCGAUUAUGUUACUAGCUUUUUCUUAUCAUCAUUAUUGAUUUGGGAUUUUUACCAGGUAACUUCUCCAUGCUCGCCCGGAGCUUUCUAGGGAUGACCUUGAAGCUGCCAGGUUUUGAGAAGGGUUAUGAGGAAUAAGUUGAUUGGAGAGUUGUUGAUUAUUUUGGAUAUUGGAUUAUGAGCCUCUUGGGUGUUCAGGGUUCACCAUUAUUCUGCGAGGUUCUCUACUCUUUUUGAAAUAGAAGAUGAUUCUGAAGAAGGCAUAGAGAUACAUAGCAGAAAAUUGCCUAUAUGAAAUGAAGUAUAUCCAAUUAAAUGAAGUAGGGAUUUUUUUUUCUUUUUUUAAUAUUGGUUUUCUUGAUUGAGGCACUUACAUUGAAGAGUUUUUGAUUUUUCCUGACUAACCCAACUUCUCCAUCAAGUUUUCUAAGUUAAUUUUAAUUGUCGUCA